rnacentral:rRNA from 1 species
GCUUAACGCGAAGAACCUUACCCAGAUUUGACAUGCAGAUGACGUAUUCAGAAAUGGAUAUCCCUUCGGGGCGUCUGCACAGGUGCUGCAUGGCUGUCGUCAGCUCGUGCCGUGAGGUGUUGGGUUAAGUCCCGCAACGAGCGCAACCCUUAUCAUUAGUUGCCAUCACUUUGGGUGGGCACUCUAAUGAGACUGCCUGGGUUAACCAGGAGGAAGGUGAGGAUGACGUCAAGUCCGCAUGGCCCUUACGUCUGGGGCUACACACGUACUACAAUGGUCGGUACAGAAGGCAGCUAAGCCGCGAGGUAGAGCAAAUCCUAGAAAGCCGAUCUCAGUUCAGAUUGUAGUCUGCAACUCGACUACAUGAAGUCGGAAUUGCUAGUAAUGGCGAGUCAGCAACAUCGCCGUGAAUACGUUCCCCGGGUCUUGUACAC